rnacentral:rRNA from 1 species
CCUACGGGAUGCAGCAGUGGGGGAUAUUGCACACUGGGGGGAACCCUGCUGCAGCGACGCCGCGUGGGUGAAGAAGCGCCUAGGCGCGUAAAGCCCUGUCAGCAGGGAAGAAAAUGACGGUACCUGAAGAAGAAGCCCCGGCUAACUACGUGCCAGCAGCCGCGGUAAUACGUAGGGGGCAAGCGUUAUCCGGAUUUACUGGGUGUAACGGGGGCGCAGACGGCGAUGCAAGCCAGGAGUGAACGCCCGGGGCCCAACCCCGGGACUGCGCUUGGAACUGCGUGGCUGGAGUGCAGGAGGGGCAGGCGGAAUUCCUGGUGUAGCGGUGAAAUGCGUAGAUAUCAGGAGGAACACCGGUGGCGAAGGCGGACUGCUGGACUGCAACUGACGUUGAGGCACGAAAGCGUGGGGAGCAAACAGGAUUAGAUACCCGGGUAGUC